CAGUCGUACGCUUCUUUUUCACCGGAGCUUGCUCCACCGGAAAAAGAAGAGUGGCGAACGGGUGAGUAACACGUGGGUAACCUGCCCAUCAGAAGGGGAUAACACUUGGAAACAGGUGCUAAUACCGUAUAACAAUCGAAACCGCAUGGUUUUGAUUUGAAAGGCGCUUUCGGGUGUCGCUGAUGGAUGGACCCGCGGUGCAUUAGCUAGUUGGUGAGGUAACGGCUCACCAAGGCCACGAUGCAUAGCCGACCUGAGAGGGUGAUCGGCCACAUUGGGACUGAGACACGGCCCAAACUCCUACGGGAGGCAGCAGUAGGGAAUCUUCGGCAAUGGACGAAAGUCUGACCGAGCAACGCCGCGUGAGUGAAGAAGGUUUUCGGAUCGUAAAACUCUGUUGUUAGAGAAGAACAAGGAUGAGAGUAACUGUUCAUCCCUUGACGGUAUCUAACCAGAAAGCCACGGCUAACUACGUGCCAGCAGCCGCGGUAAUACGUAGGUGGCAAGCGUUGUCCGGAUUUAUUGGGCGUAAAGCGAGCGCAGGCGGUUUCUUAAGUCUGAUGUGAAAGCCCCCGGCUCAACCGGGGAGGGUCAUUGGAAACUGGGAGACUUGAGUGCAGAAGAGGAGAGUGGAAUUCCAUGUGUAGCGGUGAAAUGCGUAGAUAUAUGGAGGAACACCAGUGGCGAAGGCGGCUCUCUGGUCUGUAACUGACGCUGAGGCUCGAAAGCGUGGGGAGCAAACAGGAUUAGAUACCCUGGUAGUCCACGCCGUAAACGAUGAGUGCUAAGUGUUGGAGGGUUUCCGCCCUUCAGUGCUGCAGCUAACGCAUUAAGCACUCCGCCUGGGGAGUACGACCGCAAGGUUGAAACUCAAAGGAAUUGACGGGGGCCCGCACAAGCGGUGGAGCAUGUGGUUUAAUUCGAAGCAACGCGAAGAACCUUACCAGGUCUUGACAUCCUUUGACCACUCUAGAGAUAGAGCUUCCCCUUCGGGGGCAAAGUGACAGGUGGUGCAUGGUUGUCGUCAGCUCGUGUCGUGAGAUGUUGGGUUAAGUCCCGCAACGAGCGCAACCCUUAUUGUUAGUUGCCAUCAUUUAGUUGGGCACUCUAGCAAGACUGCCGGUGACAAACCGGAGGAAGGUGGGGAUGACGUCAAAUCAUCAUGCCCCUUAUGACCUGGGCUACACACGUGCUACAAUGGGAAGUACAACGAGUCGCGAAGUCGCGAGGCUAAGCUAAUCUCUUAAAGCUUCUCUCAGUUCGGAUUGUAGGCUGCAACUCGCCUACAUGAAGCCGGAAUCGCUAGUAAUCGCGGAUCAGCACGCCGCGGUGAAUACGUUCCCGGGCCUUGUACACACCGCCCGUCACACCACGAGAGUUUGUAACACCCGAAGUCGGUGAGGUAACCUUUGA
rnacentral:rRNA from 1 species